rnacentral:misc_RNA from 1 species
GUGAAUCAUCGAAUCUUUGAACGCACAUUGCGCCCGCCAGUAUUCUGGCGGGCAUGCCUGUUCGAGCGUCAUUUCAACCAUCAAGCCCCCGGGCUUGUGUUGGGGACCUGCGGCUGCCGCAGGCCCCGAAAACCAGUGGCGGGCUCGCUGUCACCCCGAGCGUAGUAGUUUACACCUCGCCCAGGGCGUGCCGCGGGUUUCCCGGCCGUUAAACCCCCCAUACCACAAGGUUGACCUCGGAUCAGGUAGGAAGACCCGCUGAACUUAAGCAUAUCAAUAAGCGGAGGA